CCCGCAGGUGGAGCUGCCUGCCAGUCCCGUGCCGUGCGCCCACACUCCUCAGCCCUUGGGUGGUCGAUGGGACUGGGAGCCUUGGAGCAGGGGGCGGCGUUCGUCGGGGAGGCUCCUGCGGCACAGAAGCCCACGGAGUUGCGGGGAGGCUCAGGCAUGGCGGGCUGCAGGUCCCGAGCCCUGCCCUGCGGGGAGGCAGCUAAGGCCGGGCGAGAAAUUGAGCACAGUAGCUGCCGGCCCAGGUGCUAAGCCCCUUACUGCCGGGGCCGGCGGGGCGGGUUGGCCGCUCCGAGUGCGGGGCCUGUCGAGCCCACGCCCACCCGGAACUCACGCUGGCCCGCAAGCGCCGCGCGCAGCCCUGGUCCCCGCCCGCGGCUCUCUCUCCACACAUCCCCGCAAGCUGAGGGAGCCAGCUCCGGCCUUUGCCAGCCCAGAAAAGGGCUCCCACAGUGCAGGGGCGGGCUGAAGGGCUCCUCAAGUGCCGCCAAAGUGGGAGCCCAGGCAAAGGAGGCGCCGAGAACGAGCGAGGGCUGUGAGGACUGCCAGCACGCUGUCACCUCUCAGUCAGAGCCCACAGAUAAUAGCAACACACUAAGGUCCUCAAGGUACAUCGUUGGGAUCAAGCAACUUUGAUCCCAAGGAGAAGAAUAAAAACAAGAGGGACGACUGGGCCAAGGUGCCAUGUGAAGUGACCUGUGAGGAUCAACCCAGUGAAGAUGUUUGAGGAAGACAUGCUAGAGCAAAAACUACAACUGUAGACCUCUUGGAUAGUUUAGAUAAGGACUUUACCCACAUAAAGAAGGUGUUGCCCUGGGGACUGGCUGAGAGAAAUUACAGACUGUUACUCACUUCAAAAGAAACUGACUGCUACAAUGGUACUUACGUCACCAGAAACAAACACUUCCACAAAGAAUUUGAUUUGAUGGCAUCAUGUGGACAUAGAACUCUCAUAGUAAUGACCCAACCUGUGUUUCCAGUCAUCCUGAUGAACUCUCAACAAAAUCAGAUUGUUAUACUGUUGUUCUCACUUUACACCCAUAUUUUCUCUUGCUCCUAAAAAAAGUAUCUGGUAUUAAAUAGAAUUCUGUAUCUUAAAAAACUUGCCAUUGAGAAAAAUGAGAAGUAAUUGUACAUUUUAAUACUGAAGGUUUUAAUAAAAAAAGCAGUGUGAA